rnacentral:rRNA from 1 species
GCCUAACACAUGCAAGUCGAGCGGAUGACGGGAGCUUGCUCCUUGAUUCAGCGGCGGACGGGUGAGUAAUGCCUAGGAAUCUGCCUGGUAGUGGGGGACAACGUUUCGAAAGGAACGCUAAUACCGCAUACGUCCUACGGGAGAAAGCAGGGGACCUUCGGGCCUUGCGCUAUCAGAUGAGCCUAGGUCGGAUUAGCUAGUUGGUGGGGUAAUGGC